GAUGAACGCUAGCGGCAGGCCUAAUACAUGCAAGCCGAACGGCAAGUUUGAUAGCAAUAUUGGACCUAGAGUGGCGCAAGGGUGCGUAACACGUAUGCAACCUGCCCGCGACAGGAGGAUAGCUCCCCGAAAGGGGAAUUAACCCUCCAUAACACCAUGAGAAGGCAUCUGAUUAUGGUUAAACCGCACGGGGUCGCGGAUGGGCAUGCGGUUGAUUAGCUAGUUGGCGGGGUAAAGGCCCACCAAGGCGGUGAUCAAUAGGGGUUCUGAGAGGAAGGUCCCCCACACUGGCACUGGGAUACGGGCCAGACUCCUACGGGAGGCAGCAGUAGGGAAUAUUGGACAAUGGUUGCAAGACUGAUCCAGCCAUGCCGCGUGCAGGAAGAAGGCCUUCUGGGUCGUAAACUGCUUUUUCCUGUGGAUAAAAUACCCGUGCGCGGGGAAUUGAAGGUAACAGGGGAAUAAGCAACGGCUAACUACGUG
rnacentral:rRNA from 1 species